rnacentral:rRNA from 1 species
GUGAGGAAUUUUCCGCAAUGGUCGAAAGCCUGACGGAGCAAUGCCGCGUGAAGGAUGAAGGCCUAUGGGUUGUAAACUUCUUUUCUCAGAAAAGAAUUAUGACGGUAUCUGAGGAAUAAGCAUCGGCUAACUCUGUGCCAGCAGCCGCGGUAAGACAGAGGAUGCAAGCGUUAUCCGGAAUGAUUGGGCGUAAAGCGUCUGUAGGUUGUUUAAAAAGUAUUCUGUCAAAGAUUAGGGCUUAACCCUAGAUAGGCAGAAUAAACUUUUAAGCUAGAGUUUGGUAGAGGCAGAGGGAAUUCCCGGUGGAGCGGUGAAAUGCGUAGAUAUCGGGAGGAACACCAAAGGCGAAGGCACUCUGCUGGGCCAAUACUAACACUGAGAGACGAAAGCGAGGGGAGCAAAUGGGAUUAGAAACCCUUGUAGUCC